CCUACGGGUGGCUGCAGUAGGGAAUAUUGCUCAAUGGGGAAACCCUGAAGCAGCAACGCCGCGUGGAGGAUGAAGGGUUUCGGAUUGGAAACUUCUUUUGGUAGAGAAGAUAAUGACGGUAUCUAACGAAUAAGCACCGGCGAAAUCCGUGCCAGCAGCCGCGGUAAUACGGGGGGUGCAAGCGUUACCCGGGAUCACUGGGCGUAAAGAGCGCGUAGGCGGGAUAGCAAGUCAGAUGUGAAAUCCUAUGGCUUAACCAUAGAACUGCAUUUGAAAAUGUUAUUCUAGAGUAUGGGAGAGGUAGGUGGAAUUCUUGGUGUAGGGGUAAAAUCCGUAGAGAUCAAGAGGAAUACUCAUUGCGAAGGCGACCUGCUAGAACAUAACUGACGCUGAUGCGCGAAAGCGUGGGGAGCAAACAGGAUUAGAUACCCUUGUAGUC
rnacentral:rRNA from 1 species